GGGUCAGUCUGCUGUGAUAAACUUGACCAGCGCGCGCAUUGAUCUAGGAUACGCUUUAUCUUGGAAGUUACAGAAACUUCCAAAGAGCAGCCAGGGGACCGAGGAGCCCCGAGCUGGGCUCUCCGUUGCGCCUGGUAUACACAGUGCUGCCUCCGCUUCUCGGAGUUUAUGAUGUUUAUGAAGAUCCCCAACAGCUGGCUUCAAACCCAGCCCCUCCGAGAACCGUUUCCAGGACUCUGAAGCCCGCAUUUCAGCUUCAGGAACGGCGAGACAGCUGGCUGUCCGUGUCGGUUUGGGUGGAAUCGGUGUAGAGGUGGUGGUACCCAAACCAGCUCAGUGCCGGUGAUUUCCAACCAGCAUCUUUUGAAGGCACUCUGUGUGCAUCGCCAUCAAGCGCUGAGCAACAGCAAGCUGCGGAUGCUCGUCGGCGAGAGCUGGAGGAGGAUCAGCUCUAAGUUGUAAUCUCAGGGUGGACAUUGACAUCAUCCUCUUGGACGGGAGCAGGUAGAGGAGAUGCCUGCUUUCAUUCCUCUUGGACAAUGCUUAGGGGUGCAAUUGCUGGCCAUAUGAUUGUGUGAGCCGCCAGGCCUGAAGCCCGCAGCAUUUUACCUGUGCAACGCGAAAGGCUGAGCCUGGAUGGAGAAGAGAAGGAGGCGCCGCUCUGCGGAAUGCUCUCCGCGGCGCAUGCUCGGCGAGAUUUCGUGCCGGAGAACACAAACUACUCCGUUAAUUAAAUAGCAAAGGUCGAUGGAGCACCAUGGACAUUCUCUGAAGGCUGCUAGCCAGGAGACUCAAGAAGAAAUUGUUAAAAAGGAGAACUAUCCAAACAUUGUCCUCUCCCUUUGCAGCCUCAACAGGAAAGAAAACUCAUAGGAGUCUAACCAGGACCAGAAGGUAGAGACCUCGAGAAGCCAAGCACUGUGAAAAACUAGGUCCCCGUCACUAUGCUCAUGACAAAGCCACUUCGCAGGGGAAAGGAGGAUGUGGAUGAUGUUGGAUGUUCUUCUUCCCCAAUCAGAAAGGUUCACAGCAGCUAAAGAGGAGGACACUGGUGGGAAAGGUGAGUGGGCAUUGUAUUCCCAAGGCAGUAGCCGAUGGCUCAGGAGACAUAAGAACUUACCAAGAGUCUUAUUCUUGAUAUCCCUACAUAAAUAGAAACUUUCUGGGUGGCUAGGGGCAGAAUGCAUAGCCUCUGGAGCCGAUUUCUUUCACUUACGUGUAUGCUUCCUCACUGGCUGUGCAUUUCAGGUGUUUAUGUAUUAGCCUCUCAGGUGAGUCCUCUUGGGUCUGAGGAGUAGGUCUAGCUAAAAAUGAGACUGCUCAAGAAAUUGUUGAUCGCCGUGCCUUUUGAAGGAACUCAAUACAAAUUCAAUCUGCCCUCCCCUUUAGUUCCUCAAAUUCUAGAACAGUGCAGAGAUUAUAAGAAAACCUUCUCUCAAUAUAUUCUCUCUGAGGCAUAGCCGCUCUCCACGGCUCCAUCCAUAAACACAGAGGGCUUGUCUCUUCAUUAAGAGAUGUCUUGCCAUGUUAUCUGUAUGUUGAACUGCAGUGGUGUCCUUAGAACUUCAGGACCAGAUUCAACUAAAGCAAACCAGUGAGUAUGUUUUCUUUAACUUGGUCUUGAUUCUCAUGUAACAUCAGUGAAAAGCCAAGUAGAGAGAAUUUGAGUGUAAGAAAGCUAAUUUCAAUUUAAAUGCCGACUGUGCUCCAGAAAUGUUCUAAACCCAUUACGUAUACUCUCUAUUCUAACCUUCACUAUUCUAUAAAGGAAUAGUCAGGCUGAGAGGUUAAGAUGGAUUACCUGAUACCAAACCAAAUACCUUUGUAGGUGGCAGACCCAAGAUCUGAGCAGCUCAUUCUUUCAUAUAAAUCUUAGUGCCUCUUUGUAGAAAGCGUCUAUUUGUAAAUAGAUAUUUCAACAUUUAUCCAUAGGAUAAACAUUCAACUGACAUUUCGUAAUUAUUUCUAGGACUAGAGUAUCAUAGUGAUGAAUUAGAGGGCAAAGAAGUAUUUUGAAAAAAAAAAAAAAAGUGGAGAUUGUUUUGGUUGUUUUUCACUGCUUCAAAGACUUAGGAAAAAAAGAAACCCAAAUGGAGAGGAAACAGACCCAUUCUGAACUUGAACCCAGGUACACAUGGUAUAUUCAGCUGUUAGAGACCCCAGCUCCCCACGCCCAGGCUUUCUCUCUAACCACUGUACCCCACAGCCUCCUUGCACACGUGACCAUGUUCAGUUUCCUUCAUUCAUCAUCCACUGUCUCUAAGCUCCUCCUGGUCUUCUGGUUCUUCUCACUCUUCAUCCUUGCAGAAAACACAACACAUUCUAGCCCUCGAACCCCUAAUUUUAGUCCCUGUGGCCCCAAGAACAAGCAUGAAGGCACUAGUUUCAAUAUUGUUUUCCUUAUCUAUUCUGAAUUGGUGUCUCUAGAGCUGCUGUCACUGAGGGUAUGACAUAUAUACUCUGCCAAGAUUUAUAAGAAUCAUGACCUCACAAGAAGCCUAAGGAAGUGUUAGGCUUAAAAUCAUUCACCAGCAUGUGGCAAAUCUCCAUAGCCCUCAUAACUUCCUUAUUUAUAGAUACCUGCUGCAUUUUUUCCAAGGAGCCUUAGCUCUUAACAUCCUGUAGAGUGAUGUAUGUGAACCUCUUAUUAACUGAAAAUUAGUAACUCAAAGUAUUGCCUGGAGUUGAGAAACAAGUUCCAGAAUUGCUGAAAUGACUUUGCAUAUGCACACACACCACACCCCCAUACUCUCUCUCUGGAAUUCCGUAAUGGAGUAAACACAUUUUGAUCUAAUUAACAGUCUCAGAGAUGAUGGCAUGUAUAUUGUACUGGUACAACCUAUAAGUCAUCCUAAAUCUCUACGUUGGCAAUACUCUAUGUGCAAACUGUUCAGGACACUCUCCAAAGAGAAUUGAGCAACCUUCUUUUAGAAGGAUAGUGACAGCAUUGAUUUGCGCUUUAUGUGCUUAUAAGUGAUGGAGACAGAAAUCAUUCUGAGUCAUGUUCAGAAGGUAUGUAUACCUGCUGAGCUUUAAAAAGUGAUGGUUUGUAAGUCGACUAGUUAUUUUUCCUAAAGAUACUUUUUAAAAGUUUUGAGACACAAAAGAAAAAAAAUAAACAAAAAAGUCUCUCAAAGCAGUUACCCUUUCUUCUCUCCCUUGUGCAUUUCAAAGAAGCUAUUCAAAGCUAGUAUAUGCAAACUUAUAACCCAGGACCAUGCAACCAGCCCAACUAUCAAUUUAUGUUCUUUUUUGGAAACAGCUUGUAUUUUGCAAACCACUUUCCCUUUUAAUUAUUAUAACAAUGACUUAGAAUAAUGUUUCUCUUAACUCAGAGGCUAUAUUCUCAUUACCCACUGCAUGGCUGGUCCCUUUUUUUUCCCACCAGUAUAUGGCAUUCUACAGCAGGUAUGGGGUUUGUAUCUUUCCAGGCCAGCCUGUCUGGAAAGAGCUUUAUGGCAACACUACUGAAUAUUUUCUCCCCUCAGUCUCCAUAAAAUGGCCACUUUCUUGAUUUCCACAUCUGCCAAGCUGGAGGGGUGUCACCUUCUUUGGGUGGCUGCUAGGAGCAAAUGAAAUAGCUCUUGGCACAUGCUUCUUUCUCUGUAACAAUUAUUAAUUACUAUUCUUGUCCUCAUCUUCACUAGGGGGACUCCUGGGAGAAAGACAGUGGACUUUGAUUAAGAAGGGCUUGUGCCCAUCCCAGGGCUGCUGGUCAGUCUCUGGGCCUGUUUUCUCAAUUGGGAAAAGACUUCUGAGUUGUGAGCCAGUCUCAUGAUCUUAGCAUUGUUUAUAGUUUUCACAUAACCUAACAUUUAUUUGAUUACUUUAUGCAUAUUGAACACUGAUCUAAAUAAUUUACGAAUGUUUGUUUCAUUUAUAUAUCUUUAACGUGAUAUUUUAAGUUUUUGAAAUCAAAGUAAAUAUUGCAUUAUCCCAGAUGGCAGAUGAGGAAGUGGAAACACACUGUGGAUACCCAGUUUUCCCAAAGUUUUGCAACAAUUAAGAGGGGAACCAAGCAAUUUGAUCUCAGACUAUGAAGCCUUGAUGAAUAUCCUUCUCCACCACCAAUUCAACUCACUGCAGUGGCCUCCUGGGCACCAGCAUUCCCAGCAUCAAUUCCCCUGACUCAGUGGUGUUGACCAUUCAGUACAGGCCCUGUAGCCAUUUAAAACCAUCUCCAUGGUCACUACUGAUUCAAUUGCACUCAUUUCUACCGACACUGCUUUCCUGCCUUUCUUCUCUUCAUUACGCUUCCUCUGUUUCUUUUCCCCUCCAACAAAAAUGUAUUCCAGGAGAUCUACUCAGGAUUGAGGAUUCCGAGAAGAAUGAGAGAGUGUUGCUGAUAAGAAACAUGGCACAGUGGCAUUGAAGUAGGAGGGCAAAGGUCGAUUUGACACGGGGAAAACUGUAAUGUCACACAUUAAGUUCCCUCGAGAGGCAGAGAGAAUAAGAGAGAGAGUUGGAAACACAGAACACAGGCCCAGAAAGUCACAUGUCCAAGCAGGGGCAGAGAGACAGGAAACAGAGUGGACAGAACCAUAAACUCUCCCUGGGGAACUUUGGAGACAGCUUCCCAAAGGUGUUCCUAUUUGAGCUGAAUCUUGGAGAAAAGUUUCAUGUGAAAAUAUGGGAAGACCAAGGAAAAGGCCCUGUUUUGUGUCAGGCAUGUAGCAUUUAAUUGGACUGGCCUUUGGGGAUCUUAUCUUGGAGGCACACUGGAGUAAAUGGGAGUGGAAAGCUCUUGUUAAGAAAUGAUGAGUGAAUUGUGGGUGAGAGGGCAGAUGAUUGGAAAGGAACAGAUAGAAGAAAGAUUUGUUGAUGCAGCACUGGCAAGACUUAAGGAUGGAAGAGGACAGGGGAAAGAUGACUCUAGGAGUUCAAGGUCAGAGAAGAUGGGGGUAAGGAGUCACAGUCUCUUAUUUCUUCCUCUUCAGUUGUUGACAUGAGUCCCCUCCAACCUAACUGCCUCCCUCCCUGCCUUCUUCACACCUGCCCAAGUUACACAGAAAACAGCAUCUCCUGUGGGCAAAAGAAGCCCUGAGUCAGCAGAUCCAGUCCCAAUUCAUCCCCUCUGUCUGCACCCCUUUUGCAAAGAUCCUCCAGCCCAACCAUGCCUGGAGGCCUGGCCACUGUCUCUGGGUUGGUGACCUCCUCAUUCCCUAGUUCUGCUCCUACCUGCUUUCUCUCUGUUCCACAAAUCCCACCUGCAGGGUCCACAGACUACUUAACUUCCAAAAAAUCACUGUCUUUUAUGGAAGAGAGAUCAAGAGAUAUUUGCUUUAGAUUAUGCUGAAAUCAAAGUUCCCUUGUACUUUUGGUACAUCAAGUAAACAUGAAAAACAUUCAUUCACUCAUAAUGUAUUCAUUGAGCUGGCAGCAUGCCAGCUGGGAAUACAAGGAUGGGCAAGGUCCCUGUGUCAUGGGAUGGGCACUAUAGUAUUAGAGAGGCAGAUUGAGCAAGGCAAUGGAAUAAGGAUGGAUGUAGUGAUUGACAGGAAGGGAACAUUCAGAAUGCACUGCAGGAAUAUUUGGGGAUAAGGGGCAGGGGUGGACUUACUUGAAAUAGGCUCUUAAGGGAAGACUUCUUUGAGGAAGUGACACUUAAGAUUAUAAAGGCAGGAGUUCCCGUUGUGGCACAGUGGAACCAAAUCUGACUAGGAACCAUGAGAUCUGGCAUGGGCUGGCAGCAGUGGCUCCCAUUAGACCCCUAGCCUGGCAACCUCCAUAUGCUGUGGGUGCAGCCCUAAAA
rnacentral:lncRNA from 1 species